CUAUCUGACAUUUUGACCUACUUUGUUACAAUACAAUGUAUAUUUUCUAUAAUAAUGUAAUUAUGCCCUUCUCAACUACCGACGAAACCUGCAACCAGAAUUAAUUUAAAAUAAAUAAUUAAUUGCUGUAAAAUAUAAAUUGUGGUUCCUCGUUAUCCACAUAUGUCUCUCAAAUUAGCUUUUAAUAGGUUGAAAAGGCAACACAACCGUCUGAAUUCCUGUCGGCGAGAGAAGAAGACCGCUUUCCACGUCUCGUGCACUGAGAGAAGGGGAAGCUAGCUUCCAGGAUUUUGAAAUUGAGACGCGCAAAUAAGACAACAUCGUAGCAGCGGCGAGGUGAAGUCACGAUUUCCAGUUAGACUUCACAGAUCCAUAUUCCAGAAGAGAAUUUCAAGCCAGUAAGAUUUUGGUGCUCUCUUAUACCCUCCAAAUUAGAAAUAACUUUUUGUUGCAUGUGUGAAUCGCUAUUGAAAAACUCAGAAACCCGAAAAUUUGUUUAUUUGCGUUUGGAUGCUGUGUUCAUUCUAUUCUAUUUUUGAAUCUUGUAUCUUGUACAUAGAAUAGAUUUGAGAACACAUGUAAUCGAAUAGACUUAUGUAUUCUUGUAAAUAGAAUAGUGUAUUAUUGUAUGUAUAACAUUGAAAUUUGGCGUAUGGCUCGUUCUUCUAUUAGAAUAACACGCGUUAGAAAAGAUCUUG
rnacentral:lncRNA from 1 species